CUAUAUUAGGGUGCCUCUUAAGACAUGAUUUUUUUCUCAAGCAGGUUAGAGGGCGAUGGACUGGCAAACAUAUGCAAACAUAUUAUUGUUUGCACAGAAGAUAACAGAUGUGUGCAGGGUAUUUGGGAAGCCCUUAAUCUAAUCCGGGGGUCAAGGACUGCCUGGAGAAGUUGGUUUUUAACCAGAAUCUUGAGGAGUGGGUAGGAAAAAGGUAGUGAAGAAGAAGAGGAAAACCAACAAAGAGAGCAGGAAUAAAAAGGGUGUGUGUAUAAGGAGCUCUAGCAGUUUGGGCGUAGCAAUGAUGAAAAGCAUGAGGAGGGGGAGGGGAGAGACGGAAACGGAAACCUAACACGUUAAAGGCAUGUCUUACACAUUUGCUGAAUGAACACAUGCAAGUCCAGCCAUGCGUAGCUUUGUGGACCAACUUAAGGACUUUGGUGGACAUUGGGGGAGGCAGGGGUUAGACAAAAGAGUACUAUAAUAUUAGAAAGAUCACAUUAGCAAUACUGUUUGAAGUUGGGUUUUUGUUUGUUUGUUUGUUUUAGUGGUGGUGGUGGAAGGAGGAGGGCAAGUUUAUCUGUCUUCUCUGGUACUUUUUUAUUCAGAAACUGAUUGGAAAGUGGGUCAAAAGAUUUGUCUUAAUGUUACAACUUUCUUUUUACUGAAAGUCAGUAAAAGUGUCUAUUGGUCUAAAUAUAGCAUUUUCUUAAUUUUUUCCUUCCGCAAAUUAAACCAUGAUAGCACCAGCCUAAAGAGUUUUAAUGUAUGCUUGACCAGGUUUCUUUUAGAUACUCUUUCACUUCUUUUUCUUUCGUCUUUAAUUCCUUUCUUCCUCCUCCUUCUCCUUUUCUUUCUUCUCUUAUGUUCCUUAUUUCCUCGAGUGGCUAAAUAAUUCCCACACCACACCUCAAUUUCACCACAGGAAUUAAAAUGGAGACCAUGUAGGAAGAUACUGCAAUGAUCCAGGCAAGAGAUUCUUACUUGAUAAAAGCCUAAACUAGAAUUCUGCUAGAAAUGGAUAAGGGGGUGGCAUUUUUGAAAAAGAGCUCAGGGUUAAAAUUGGUCAGCUCUGUAUGCAUGGGGAGCUGGGGUAGUAACAGAUCUAGAGGAUGAAUUCUGGUUUAUGACUUGGAUGGCUGUCAUUUACUGAAAUAUAGAGAACAAGCUGAGAAAUAUGUCUAGAAAGGAAAGUGAUGAGUGUAGUUUAAGGUAUAUAGAUUUAAUGUGCAGGUGGAAACAUACAACAACACAUAGAUGGGUCUAAAAUGCAGCGUGUGAUGACAGAGUUGCAAAUAUAAAUUUAGCGUUUAUCUGGUUAGAGGCUGUGAUCACUAGUUUCAAAGAUGAUUGCCAUCGGUUUCUUCCCUCCCUGUAUGCACAUGCCACUCCCCCAUCCACAGGAGGAGUUUGUUUCCCCUCCCCUUGAAAUUCAUUAGACUUGUCAAUGCUUUGCUCAGUAGAAAGCUGUAGAAGAGAUAUUCUGGGACUUCUGAGUUCAAGCUUCAAGAGGAAAGGUAACUUUUAGUUACUUCCUCCUGGAACAUAGGGUGGCAGGUAGCUGCCAUGCUAUGAAGAAGCUCAAGCUACAAACCCACAGAGUCAUGAUAACCAAUGGUUGUUUUUAUUUCAAGCGACCAGUUAUAAAUGACUUGAUAUAUAGCAAUAAAAACAGAAAUUGGUACCUGAAAACGGAAUCUGUUUUGUUUUGCUAUAACAAAAACCUAAUAUGUAUGACAUGGCUUUGGAAUCUGGAAGCAGGCAAAACCUGGGAGGGUUUUGAAAAAGAUAUAAAGGCUAGAAGGGAAGUAAAGGAAGUAGUAUUUAAGAUUUGAGAAAAGUGGACAUGAGUUAUAGAUUGGACUAAUUAGUGAAAUGCUGCCUAUGGUAACCUGAAAAAUACAAAUAGAACCUAAUAGAAGUUCCCUGGUAGCUCAGCAGGUUAAGAAUUUGACAUUGUCCCUGCUGUGGCUUGGGUCAUAGCUGCGGGGUGGGUUUGGUCCCUGGCUCCAAAACUUCCACAUGCCAAAGGUGUGGCCAAAGAAAUAAAAAUUAAAAAAAAAAAAAAGAAAAGGAAAGGAAAGGAAGAGGAGAAGGAAGAAGAAAUGAAAAGAAAGAGUACCUAAUAAAUGUAUGGAUCUUGCUGAGAAGGUUUCCAGGUAGAGUGGCAACUUCUUUAAGAUAACGAUACCAAUGAUAAAAUAUAAGACUAGCAAGAUGAGCGUAAGAAGGAACUCUUUGAUUUUCUUUUCUUCUUUUCUUUUCUUUUUGUUUGCUUUUUAGGGCUGCACUCACGGCAUAUGGAGAUUCCCAGGCUAGGGGUCAAAUCAGAGCUGUAGCCAUUGGCCUACACUGCAGCCAUAGCAGUGCCAGAUCCGAGCCGCGUCUGCAACCUACACCACAGCUCACAGCAACGUCAGAUCUUUAACCCACUGAGCGAGGCCAGGGAUCAAAAUGGUAUCCUCAUGGGUGCUUGUUGGAUUCCUUCCUGCUGCACCAUGACGGGACCUCCUGGAACGUUCUGAUUUUCAAGGAAAAUAUCAGAACAGUAUUUCCACUGCAAGCCCUGCUUGAUGGGAAAUUAAAAAACAAUUUCAUAUUUGUAGUUUAACACAAAGUAAGGAAGUAGUCUCGAAGUAAGUCUCAAAGUAAGAAAUGGCCACAGGGGCCCAAAAAAUCAAAUCCAGGGGCCUCUAAUAAAACAUAGCCUCCCAGGAAAGAUCAGAUCAAGGGUGUGGUUAUAGGACUUUUGCUGACACUUUUCAAAGAUUUAAGGUUAUGCCUCAUAAACUUCUCAACAAGAUAAAAGGGCUUCUUUUUUCCUUUAUUAUUAUUAUUAUUCAUAAAAGGGCUUCUUAAUGGGGAGCUCCCUAGACCCUCUCAGUCAGACAAUAGAUGAUCUGAGAACCUUACAGUUUUUUCUGCCUAACACACUGACUUUAAGGUCCUAUCUCAAGGACACUUGUGGGUAUUGUUUUUGUCCUUGACAUGGAUUUAUAAUUUGAUACACAGAGAGCCCAGAACUUUUUAAAAAGGAAUUGUAUCAGCUUAAACUCAGCAAGCAGGGAGCUAGUAGCCAAAAGAGGAAAAUUUCACGGGAGAAGGGUAAUGCACCAAGUUUCUAUUACAGAUAGAGCAGGCAUGUUAAAGGGUGGAUAGUGGGAAAUGAAAGGAGGUCUCCUGUCCCUAAACUUCCUAUGAAUGAGAAGCAGGUUAUGAAAGAUAUGCAGAGGCAAACACAGGGUAUUCUUGCAGGAAAUGAAGACAACUCCGAAGACGAAGCCAAGAUUCCAGAGAGAGGAGCCAAGAGCCAUGGAAAACCACUCACAAGGAGCAGAAACCAACUCUUAAUCAGGAAAUAUUCUUUCUCCCUGGAGUCAGAGGAAAUGGCCACAUGUGCCCAGAUGGAUUUCAGAAUUGCUAGGGAUAGGAGUGGCAAUGUGCUUCCAGUUCUCUGCCCAGGAACCUUUAUUGCUUUAUUCUGUCUCUUAUUCACAAUUGUAUGUUAGCUUGUAAGAUAGCUUACUUUUAUGUUUCAUAAAUCUCCACACCCAAGAAGCCACAGCUGAAAAGCAAAAUUCAAGGAGUAGACCAGAGGAGUUUGUCUUCAUUUAUACCUAAUUUUUAUGACAAUAUUCUGGACUUUGAGCAAAUGCCAUAAUGGGACGGGCAGUGAGUGCAUUUUGCACAUAGGAGUAUAAUUUGUUGUUGUGGCCAGCGAGUUAAUCAUGGCAGAUAAUCUCUAAAUAUGUCCACCCUCAAUUCCUUCCCUCUUGGAAUAUACAUGCUACUUGGUGAAGAAAAACCAGAGCUGGACAGUAGUUAGAGCAGCAAGAAUAUUUUGUUUUUCAGGACUAUUGCCUUAGGGGGUAAGAGACUGAAGAAUAGCAUCAGGCUCAAUUCUGAAUAUGGCGUGGGCGAGGUGCCGGAUGGGGGUUGGUAGAUAAAAAAGUAUAAAAAGGAAACAUCAGGAGUAAAGGAGGAUUCUGGCUAAAAUGACCUGGCAGGAUUCUUGCUGAAGACAAGCCAGGAUGACCAGACAGCACCUGGAGGAUGGUAGAAGAAAAGGAACCUGAUUAGACAUCGAGGGGGACCAGAUAUUGAGGAUGGGGGAUUCUGGAUAAACCACCUCAGCAGGAUUAUUGCUAAGAUUGGACCAUGCAGAUGUACACAGAGGUCCCCAAGUCAGGCCUCCUUGAAAAAGAGUUCAGGGAAGUCUGGGUAGAGUUUGGUCCAUGAGAUCUUUGUCAUACUCUCUCAUCAAGAGAUGGAGCUCAUUUCCCCCGGGCAGGCCCUGAGGCUGCUUUGGCCAAUACGAUGCAGCAGAAGAGACACCUGGGACUCUCGAAUCUCUGUUUUAGGAGAACCGGCAGCUUCUAGCUCCUUCCUUUUGGAACAUGGCCACCAUCUGUAAGGAAGCUCAACACCCCUGAGUCUAGGACUAUACAGAAGAACACCAAGGCUCUCAGGGGUCAGUCCCAGUUGAGCUCCCAGUCCGUGGCCAACGCCCACUGCCAGCCACAUGAGUGAAGCCAUCUGGGGACCAUCAACCCUCUCAGCACCCUGGCCAAUGCUACAAAAAGCAGGGGAGUCAUUCAGCUAACCCACAGAGUUGUGGCAGUGAUAAUUUGUUGUUGUUUCAAACCACUAACUUUCAGGUGGUUUGUUGUAGCAACAGGUAACCAACAUAGAUAAAGAUUAAAAUACUGAGAUGGGAGGAGAGAGCUCCGAGAGAGCACGUAGGAUAGUAAAACAGGAACAACUGUGGGGAGAAUAAGGAUUUUAGGUGGUUUGAAGCCUAACCCAAAAGGGGACAAAGAGGAAAUGUUCAAAGAGACAGGAGGAGCGAAAGAAGAAGUGAUGUCACAGAAAACAAGGGAGAACUACUUCAACAUGUAGGAGAAGGUCAACAGUGUCAAAUGUCACAGAGAGUUCUAGAAGGAAAGACAAGAUGUGGAAAAAGGCCAUCAGCUUUUAUGAUGUGAAGUCACUAAUGACCUUUGCCAAGGCAGCUUUAGCAAAGCAGUGGGAACAGUAGCUGCAUGGCAGAGGGUUAAAGAGAGUUCUAGCUAGGAAACUUCACCUAGUCCUAGGCAGUAAAAAUGAGAGCAAGCCACAGGUACAGAUCUCUCUUGCAACCAAGUGUCUCCAAAGGAAGUAAGAGCAACAGGACAUUGGGUACAUGGGGUCACAAGGUCAAGAGAAGUGUUACACUAACACACUCAUGUUUUCUAGUCAAGCUCUAGGUGGCCUUGGCUUUUUACAAAUCCCAUCUUCAGACUGAUGUGCAGCUGCUGCUAUUAUGUUUGUCCACGUGGUUCUGCUUGAAAGCGGCGUGGAAUCGAGCUUUAACAUCGGGGCAUCAUGUAAGGAGUACAGUGGUGGGAGGUCUGACCCCUAGCUCGGUGCACCAAGUCAGCUUCCAGACUUUAACUUAGCUCCUCCUGCAUUCACUAAGUGACUUAGACCGGAGGACCUUGGAGGGCUUCACAUCCUAUAAAAAUGAUUCCAUUCUCCAAAAUAUCUACCUGUGAUUACGAUGCUUUGCUCUUGUUUCCUGGAAACCCAGCAGGCUUACAGGGGAUAAAUCACUCAACAAGCAAAAUAUUGCCACUCAAGGCCUCCAUCCAAAGUACAUGCUAUACUCUCAUUUCUAGCCCAUAUCCUAUGAGUUGGAGCUUGGAUGUAUAGUUCUCAGCAAAGAGUUCGGUCCCUGCUGAGCCUUCAGGGACCAGGGUCCCCCAGAGCAGAGGGGCUUCCUGGUCAUAUGUAGGGAAGAAAGAUCUAAGACCCAGGGAUUAAACCAGGCCACCAAGGAAAAAGGGAAGAGGCCAGGGGAGUUACCAGAUACGGCUUAUUUCUUAAGGAUAGGAAUUCCUCACUUCACAUGGGCUGGGGAGACAGAUCUCUACCACGUCAAGUGUCACAGAGCUAAGGAACACACCCCAAGCCCUUCAAUAUCCGCCCCCCGCCGCCCCCGAGGGUCUGCACCGUCAAGCAUCUUUUUUCAGAGUUAAUGUCCAUUGGAGUAUAUUACUUCUGCAUUCAGCUUCUUCUCUUUUUUUAUUUUGAAUUUAUACUUUCCUCUGCUUUAUGGGUGCCUUUGUUCCCAGGUACAGUGGAAGACAAAGCCAGUUACAAUGGCACUCAUAUUACAAUACAUAAAUGUGUCAAAUUGUCAUGUUGUACACCUUAAAUUUGCACAUUAUAUGUCACACUAUUUCAAUUUUUUUAAAAAAGAGGAAGCUGAGCUCCCAUCUUGGCUCAGCGGUAAAGAACCCGAGUAGCAUCCAUGAGGGUGUGAGUUCCAGCCCUGGCCUCGCUCAAUGGGUUCAGGAUCCAGAGGCAUCGCCAUGAGCUGUGGUAAAGGUUGAAGACACCACUUGAAUCCGAUGUGGCCGUGGCUGUGCUGUAGUCCGGCAGCUACAGCUCUGAUUUGACCUGACCCCUAGCCUGGGAACUUCCAUAUGCCACAGGUGUAGCCCUAAAAAGACAAAAAAAAAAAAAAAAAAAAAAAAAG
rnacentral:lncRNA from 1 species